AAGUCUAAGUGUAAAUCAAUUUUACUGAUGAAACUGCGAACGGCUCAUUAAAUCAGUUAUAAUUUAUUUGAUGGUACGGGAGAAAUCCCACUACAUGGAUAACUGUAGUAACCUAGAGCUAAUACAUGCAAAUCAGUCAAACUUUUUGGAAUGACUGGCACUUAUUAGAUAACAAACCAAUAUGUAGCAAUACAUUCUUAUGGUGAAUCAUAAUAACUGAACAGAUCGCAUGGUCUUGUACCGGCGACGUUUCAUUCAAAUUUCUGCCCUAUCAACUAGAUGCUAGUAUAGAGUACUAUCAUGGUUUUCACGGGUAGCGGGGAAUUAGGGUUCGAUUCCGGAGAAGGAGCAUGAGAAACGGCUACUACUUCUAAGGAAAGCAGCAGGCGCGCAAAUUAUUCAAUGGAAACAAAUUUCCGAAAUAGUGACAAAAAAUAACGAUGCAUGGCCAUAUGGUUGUGUAAUUGAAAUGAGUACAAUUUAAAUCCCUUAACGAGUAACAAUUAGAGGGCAAGUCUGGUGCCAGCAGCCGCGGUAAUUCCAGCUCUAGUAGCGUAUAUUAAUGUUGUUGCAGUUAAAAAGCUCGUAGUUGAACUUGAAUGUUGUAAUAGAUUUGGUUUUCUAAUUUAUUAGUAUAACUAUCUAUUCACAUUCUUCCUACUAGUAACUCGAUUCUGUUCUUAAUUGAAUGGAAUAGCAGUCUUUUCGGGGAUUGUCGAAUAGAGUGUUAAACUCCACCAUUUGUAUGGAUUUAUGUAAAAGUAGAAAAAAUAUGAUGAGUGGAUCAAGUUUAGUAUUUUAUUUGGAGUUCUAGUUCAUUUACUUUGAGAAAAUUAGAGUGUUUAAAGCAGCCUCUUGGGGCUCUGAAUACAUUAGCAUGGGAUAAUAGAAUAGGAUUUCAAUCAUAUUAUUGGUUUGAAUGGAUGAAAUAAUGAUUAAGAGGAACAGUUGGGGGUAUUUAUAUUGGAUGGGGACCGGUGAAAUGGGUGGAUCCAUUCAAGAUAAACUAAAGCGAAAGCAUUUACCAAGGAUGUUUUCAUUAAUCAAGAACGAAAGUUAAGGGAUCGAAGACGAUUAGAUACCGUCGUAGUCUUAACUAUAAACUAUGCCGACCAGGGGUAUGAGUUGUUAUGAAUACCCUCUAAAAAGGGUAUUCAAUUUCCUCUUGUGGACCUUGUGAGAAAUCAUAAGUUUUUGGGUUCUGGGGGGAGUAUGGUCGCAAGGCUGAAACUUAAAGGAAUUGACGGAGGGGCACCACCAGGAGUGGAGCGUGCGGCUUAAUUUGACUCAACACGGGAAAACUUACCAGGUCCAGACAUUAGAAGGAUUGACAGAUUGAUAGCUCUUUCAUGAUUUGAUGGGUGGUGGUGCAUGGCCGUUCUUAGUUGGUGGAGUGAUUUGUCUGGUUAAUUCCGAUAACGAACGAGACCUUUACCAUACUAAAUAGUUUAUUUUAUCUUUUGAUAGAAAACAUUAAAAAAACUUCUUAGAGGGACUAUUGGUUUUUAAACCAAAGGAAGUAAAGGCGAUAACAGGUCUGUGAUGCCCUUAGAUGUUCUGGGCUGCACGCGCGCUACAAUGAUAAACUCACCGAGUAAUUAUACUUUUAUUAGUAUUUUGCUUAUCCGGAAGGAUUGGCUAAUCUUAAACGUUUAUCGUGCUUGGGAUAGAUGAUUGCAAUUAUUUAUCUUGAACCAGGAAUUCCUAGUAAUCGUAUAUCAUCAGUGUGCGAUGAUUACGUCCCUGCCCC
rnacentral:rRNA from 1 species